AUUUUAGAAAUCAAUCAUGAAAUAUUUUAGUAGGCUAUGAUAAAAGUUUGGGCUUAAAAUUCUACCGAAUUUCGAACAGUAGUUUACUCAACAGUAUAAAUUUAUAUCGUAGAAAAAGAAAAUAAAAAUAUCUUUUAGACCAGAAAAAUAUCUAUGUUAUUAAAAUUAAUUAAAAAUAAAAUGAAAGAUUAGAGAUAAGCAUGCAUUUAAUUUUAAGAUAAGAGCUACACCUAUGCAUACAAGGUGGCUAAUUUUUCUUCACAAAUUGAAAGUGAAAACGUGGACUGAGAAUUUACCAUGUAGCAGUAGAAUUAGAAAUCUAUAAAUAGGGUCUUAACAUUCACUUUUUACACACAAUUAUCACUCUCACAACUCACACAAAGCUAGGAAAUUCAAUUAAGGUGUCCUAGAUGAAGGUGAUCGCUCAAGUUAUUUUGGGAAGCUUCGAGUUAGUGCAGGAUUCUAAGACCUCAAGUUGAAGUUCAUUGAGAAAAGAAAAAUGGCAUUGUGAGAGACAUUAAAAUAAAGAACGUUAGUGCUGAUUGGUGGUCUAGUUUUAUUUUUGGAGUCCGAAGAGAAAGAUCUCUUUGAUAUGUAUUGAUGACGUCAUUGGAGUACUCUCUAGGUGAUAUGUAUUUUUAGUGUUUGACCAGCUUGUGAUCAUUUCUGGGAUAGAGUCUUCUGUAGGAAUUUAUAUUUUAUUAUUUCAUAUUGAAAAAUUGUACGAUACUUAUGUGAAAUGAAAAUGUUUUAUAUUUGAAAA